UCUCCUUUCUGCCACCAGCGUCUUUUCAUCUCCCAAGAAAUCUUUUAUCCCCAAAUCCAAAUCUGCUCAGAAAAUAUUCUUUUCUCUACCGAUGCAGCAUCUGUUCUUCACCCUUUCACUCCUUUAAAACUCCCUUUCAAGAACAUUCCCGGUCCUUUUCCAUCUCCAAUCUGCAAAAUCUGCCACUUAAAAUACUUUCAACCUCAAGAGUUCAAGACACCCAUCAAGCUUAUCAAGCCAAAUAAGCAAUACUACAGCACAUUCAUCAAAACCAAACUGAACAAGGUUCGAUCUCUCCCUUCAACUUUAUACCACAGCAUGUAUUUCCUCUACAACUAGAUUUACAAUCUCACACAUUGACAUGAACUUGAACAGCAUACUUUUCAUUCAUAACUUGUAAGGAUUUUUAGUAAAACACAAUCUCUGCUAAAAUAAGACUAUUAAAAUCUGUACUACAACAAAGCAACUAUAUCAAGAACAGUACCAACGAACACCAAACUUGACGCCUUUCCUGCUUCCUUUCUCGUGAACCAAUUCCCAUUAUUCUUCAAGAACAUACCUUGUUUAACUCUGCAAGUUCGAUCUUCCUUUCCUUCUUCCUCUUGGGCUGGGAUGUGGGAGUCUUGGUCUGGAAUGUGGGAGUCGAGGGAAGAAGAGGGUCUUCUGCCCGGUGAUGAGGACGGCGGCGGCACGGCGAAUUUCAGAACGCCGUUGCUCGGCCGGCCGCGAGGAAGAAAGGGGAGUCGGCUGGCAGCAGGACUGCUGUGGUAGAGUCGCUGCCUAGGUGGCUGACCACCACACGCAGAGGGAGAAGUGAUGGAGCGGGCUGGGCCGUGAGAGGGAGCGCUGGAGGAUGGCGGCGGCGCGGCCGGAGGCCAGGCGCGCUGCCCGCUGUGAAAACAGCAGCGGCGGCGGCAACCUUCCUCGGCCGUCCGCUGCAGAUGACGCAAGGGAGAAGAGGGUGGGGAGCGCGAGGUGGCUGGUGGCUGACGGCGAGGCCAGGGCGGCGCGGCCUAAGGCCGAGCGCCGCUGACGCGGCGGAAAUGGAGCAGCAUCGGCGGCGGCCCUCCUUGACCGUCUGCUAUCGGGAGCGAGAGAAGGAAGGCGAUGAGAGGGAGGCCCCGGAUCCGGCGAUUUCGCCGGAGCUGGAGGCGGCCGGCGUGGAGCUCGGGAGGGAAGGCGGAGGUUCUGGAGAAAAGGGGGGCGAGGCGAGAGAGGGAGAGAGAAGCGUGAGUAGAGAGAGAGGAAGAUUGACUUGUUUUAUUUUAAUUACCUUUAGGUUUAUUUAAGCUUUGUUUGGGCCUCAUUUCAUAAUAAUUUGAUGGGCUUUUUCUUUGACAUGGGCCGAUUCUUAAUAGAGUACCGGGCCGAUUUUAAUAUUUAAAUGGGCUACACAUUUUUAGAUUGUUUUUGGGCUGCAUUAUUAUAACAAGUCUUUAGAUUAUUAUCUUGGGCUUUAACUAUUAUCUUGAGCCUGAAAGUAGUUUAAUAAUAAAUUAUUAAUUUUUCUCCCAAUAUUAAGGUUUAUAUUUUCUUUUAAUUUUUAAUUAUUUAUAAAUUUAGUGGUAAUUAUAUUUAUUAAAUUACUAAUUAUGUAUUAAGAGUUUAUUGAUUCACUUAUAGAGAUUUUUAAUUCGGGCAAAAUGUAUCAAUAGUUAGCAAUCCUUACUUUACUUAGAAAUUAGGAUGACACCUCGAGACCUAUUUAGAAUAGAUUCUUGUAGGUUCGAGUAACCAAGGGCUUAGAGCUUCAAGAAGAGCAAGCACUGAAUCUCCCAUUGAGGUGGGUUUUAUUUUAUAUACAAUGUAUCUUGAGUUAUAUAAGCUCUGAUAUUUCAUGAAAAUUAUCUGUUUAUCCAAUAUAAAUGUUUUUAUGUGCGUUCUGUAAUUGUUUAAGGCUCACUUAAGUAUCGAUCGAGAUUCUCAUUUGGCCUAACACGCUAAAUGAGGAUUGUGUACACAGGGUUAGUGGCUCGAUGGGUUGAUCACCAUCGUGCACUAACAGAUUUAGAACGUUAUAAGGGUGGGUGCUUGACAGGAGGUUAUCCGGAGCACGGUGCUUGACAGGAGGUUAUCCGGAGCACAGUUAAGGUUAUUGAUUCCGACCGGGUGCGUCCCGAGAUCAAUAACAGAUUUUGGAUCUGACUGGGUGCGUCCCGAGAUCAGUGAAUGUAGGGAGAAAGUGAGUAACAAUCGAACGUACAUGGCGCGCCACUAAAUGAGAAAAGUUUUGUCAUGCUUAGAAGUGGGAUCCGUUUUAAAACCUUCUAAGUCAUGAAUGUGAUAUUGGAUAAACUGCUUCGAUUAUUUCAUAAAAUAUUUCGAAAACUUGUGCCCACUGAGUACAUUAGUACUCAGCCCAAAUUAUUUUCAAAUGUUUUCAGGUUGAUCAGUUGGUGCAGACGAGGCUGAGCUGAGGCUAGGGUUCCACGAUGUCUUUUGCUUCCGCUAAUAACUAUCUUGUCAUCUCAUCCUCCAUCCCCUAAAUUGAGAAUUUCUAUUGUGUGGUAUAAUAUUAUCUUGUUGGGCUUAGACUCUUAACCCAUAUUUCUAUUAAUGGAGCUAUCAUUGAUUAUGAUCAGAGUCACGAAACUAAACCUAUGCGAUCCUGAGUUCGAAUAUUGUCAUUUGAUUAGCAUCUCUUAAUGCCUUUCAUUUUAUCUCCUUUCAUCUUAUCUCUUUAGAUAUGCAUACCCGAUUUAAUGGGUAAAUUAUAAAUUUUAUUCAGCUCAAUUAAGUUCUUCAAUUAUUUUCCUAUUUCUUUUUGCCU
rnacentral:lncRNA from 1 species